UACGUAGGGGGCAAGCGUUGUCCGGAAUCAUUGGGCGUAAAGAGCGUGUAGGCGGCCUGGUAAGUCCGCUGUGAAAGUCCAGGGCUCAACCCUGGAAUGCCGGUGGAAACUGUCAGGCUCGAGUCCGGAAGAGGCGAGUGGAAUUCCUGGUGUAGCGGUGAAAUGCGCAGAUAUCAGGAGGAACACCGGUGGCGAAGGCGGAUCUCUGGGCCUUACCUGACGCUGAGGCGCGAAAGCUAGGGGAGCAAACAGG
rnacentral:rRNA from 1 species